UACAGUAAACAUUCAUUAAAGCAUUUUAAUUAUCUCAAAAAUGUUUUGUAGCUGAAAGUAUAUUUAUCGGGUAUUCCAAUAAAUUGAGCACAAACACUAUCUCAGAAUAAGUCGAUUUUUUCUUAGUGUUAUUUUCUAUUACCUUUUAAAAAGAUGAUGUUAUGACACUUAUGGUAAUUUUAUAAUUAUAGUUGAAAACGAUUACAGAAAUCCGAAUCGUCGAUCGAUAAAUUGGAACCCGUAAGAAUAAUAAAACUUUAAUUUAAUUGUAUUUCAAAACGGUUAGAA